AGUGAACGCUGGCGGUAGGCCUAACACAUGCAAGUCGAACGGCAGCACAGUAAGAGCUUGCUCUUACGGGUGGCGGGUGGCGGACGGGUGAGGAAUACAUCGGAAUCUACUUUUUCGUGGGGGAUAACGUAGGGAAACUUACGCUAAUACCGCAUACGACCUACGGGUGAAAGCAGGGGAUCUUCGGACCUUGCGCGAUUGAAUGAGCCGAUGUCGGAUUAGCUAGUUGGCGGGGUAAAGGCCCACCAAGGCGACGAUCCGUAGCUGGUCUGAGAGGAUGAUCAGCCACACUGGAACUGAGACACGGUCCAGACUCCUACGGGAGGCAGCAGUGGGGAAUAUUGGACAGUGGGCGCAAGCCUGAUCCAGCCAUACCGCGUGGGUGAAGAAGGCCUUCGGGUUGUAAAGCCCUUUUGUUGGGAAAGAAAAGCAGCAGGUUAAUACCCCGCUGUUCUGACGGUACCCAAAGAAUAAGCACCGGCUAACUUCGUG
rnacentral:rRNA from 1 species